rnacentral:tRNA from 1 species
GCCCAUGUGGCUCAGUGGUAGAGCACUCCCUUGGUACGGGAGAGGUCGGAAGUUCGAUUCUUCUCAGGGGCACCA